ensembl:lncRNA
CUUGCCUGUUGGGCAUCUUUGAAUGACUGCAUAUACAUUUCAUUGUAUUUACUUAGCCCGACAAGCACUUUAUGGGUUACUGAGCAGUAAAACAAUCCCCAUUUUAUACAAGAAGAUAUAAGGCAGAGGGGCUUUGUGGCUCUCCACCACUGCCUAACUCCACGUCAGAGCAAGACCCAAGCACAUCUCAACUCAUCCUCUGAGAAAGGAACCUGAGUGCAUAGGCUCUAUGGGAUCACAGCAUGCCUUGCCCACGUAUUUAAUUGUGACAAAGCAGCAUAGUGCAGUUCAUCUGAAAUACAGAUAGGUACUACCAAGAACUGAGGUUUUGAGUUACGCUGUUCAGAACUGCAAGUUAACAAUGCUGUGUUACUUAAAUUCAAUGCAUUUAAAUGCCUAAUAAUGUGAUGCUAAGAUAUGACCAGUAUGUGGACAUCUCCCUGCUCGUCACUUCAUGCAUCCCAACAGUUCUGAGAAUUCCUGUGCAGUUUCCCUCUUGCUCCAUGUCUGGCUGGUGGUGGAUGCAGCUUUUCUCAUGUUCAUUCAUGUUACAACACCAAUAUUUUACAAUUGCAUUAUCAGUGCAGUACAGUUCAAUACUAUUCAAAUAGGUGUUUAGAAACACGUCUUCUAAUGCUUAAUUUGAUGUUUGCAUGACUGAAGAUGAAGCACACCCUUCUUGUCAGCAUGUCACUACUGGUACAAAGCAAGGCUUCCUUCCAGGCUCUGGCAAUACUCUGAAGUAACUGCUGGUGGAUCCCAUUAAGGUUGUCAAUAGGCAGAGAAAUACCUCAGAAGGGAAGGAUUAAAAAUAAAUGUAUAGUUUCUAGUUUUGCCUAGUUUCUACAAGCUUACUAGUCUUUGUAGAACAGCAGGUAAUCACACUGCCAUAAACCAUGAAGCUUGUUUAAAACUAUCCUCAGAAAAUCAGUUUUGUAUUGUAUAAACACUUACAGCCCAGGCAGUGAUUCAGUAACACCGCUGAGGUGAUGGUUAAGAAAAAGCUUUGGGAAAUCAAAACCACAAGAGGCUGUACAGCAUCCUGAGCUAUUGCGUGUACAUGUUUUUGUUUGGAUCCCAGCCCACUGUCUGAAGAUGAUGAAACAUACUCAGCUUUGUAUAGCCAACAAACAUUUGAAAAUCUUUGUUUUGUACUUUUUCCUGGUUAUCAGUGACAAAGACAGCUGUUCCUAAGGAUUGGUUACGAUGUCCCAUUUUCCAUUACUUUCCCAAGCAUCUUCAUUUGUGUGGCUGCAUAAAAGUCAGGAGGAUUGGUGUGGAUGUUGCCGAUGUUUCACAUUUUUGCUUGUAUAAGCUUAAAUAUAGUCACAUCACAUUU